rnacentral:misc_RNA from 1 species
UUAAGUUCAGCGGGUAUCCCCGCCCGAUUCGAGGUCUAGGGGUGGUCAAUGCCUCGUCCUGUGUCCCGCGCGCGAACAAGGCCCGUAGGGCACGACUACUACGCUUAGGGCUGUUAGGGCUAGGCAGCUAAUGAAUUUCGAGGGGCCGCCCGGCUAGGCGGUUCCCCCAACACCGAGCCACGAGGGCCCGAGGGGUUUAG